UAACAAGCAGCAACAACUGCUACUGCACACACUUAGGUAAACAACUAAUGUAUUUGCAACUCAAUAGAAUAUGAACAUCAACUCAUGAUUAUAAACAGACUUAUUUGUGGUUAUCAUCCAGCACAGCUGAGGCGUGGAGGCCUGCUGUUGGAUCUGCAACUAGACACCUACACUGAACAUUAAACUAUCCUGUUGUUGUUGUUGGAGGGAACCCUAUUGUAACAAUUGAUGUUCUACAUAAUUAAUGUAAUUCUGAUUAAAAUAUUGUCAAGAGUAAAUGCUUAUUCAGUUGUGACUAAGUGUAAAGUAGUCAUUAGGUGUCUCUUUCAGAAAUAAUUGCAGUAGGGCUAUGAUCUAAAUUCCAGUUUGUAAAGGCGACAGUUUCAAAGAAUAAAGUAGAGUAAGUGUUCUUGAUCAGUCCAAACAGUCCAUUGGAGUUCAAAGUUAAGUUGUUAGGAGAGAUGUUGUCAGCAGUUACUCACUGAAAAGCUGAUGCAAAUGCAUUUAAGUAGGUGAACUGUGGUUAAUUUUGUUUUUGAAAUAAUGGUGACAACUGCAAAUACAAUACUGCUUAAUCCGAAUGUAAAAUCUAUGUUUUGCAAAAGUUAACUGUUUAGUUGACUGACAUGACAGAUGCUAAGGUUUGCUAUAUUAUAUGACUAUUUGUGACACUAUUCAGCACAAGAAAUGUCUCACACACACAGCAGGCUGUAAGCAAAAGCCCCUGACAUUUCUGGAAGCUUAAAGUUUUGCUUUCACUUUGCAUUGGUAAGUCCCUAGAUGUUCAGUCUUUCCCUCCACAGGAAGAUAAUGGCCCUUUGAGGAAAUGUGUUUCUUUCUCAGCCUGUGGUGCGACACACUAGAUGGGUUGUUCGCCGCAGAAGCACUCUCUAAUACAGUUUUAACAGCCGAAUACUAAAUAAAACCACUCAAGGACUAUACCUUAUACGAUUGGAUGGGGGGUAAAUAAUCUUCACAAUGUAACGAGAGAUGCACAAAGCCCUAUAUUAAGCCCUAUAUUAACUGUGAACCAUUUCUCUAAAUAAAAACAUCCCACCCAUUUGGAUUGGGAGAUCCAAAAUUAACUCCACGCUCCCCUCUGCUGUCAUGAGGUGACAUUGCACAACUACCAAACACACCUCAUUACAGAUACUAGGAUCAUUUCACAGAACCUGGUUUUCCAGACGUUAGUAGGGGUAAAACCAUGCCGAUCCAGGUGGAUCCGAGCAUUGCGGUAAACAUGCAUACACUCUGUAACUUAUUUUAGGUUAACAAGUAGGUCUAAUUAAAAGUCAGAAAUUAACUCAGGCCUGCCGACUCCACAAUUGUCAGCUGAAGAAAAAAAAAAAGAGCACAAGCAACUGCUUUCACAGAAAGACAGAAAGGCGUAAAAAAGUUCAAUGUAAGAUGGGUUGAAUGUCAUAAUGCCCAGGACUUCAGGGGUUAAUAGAGUUUGCAGGGGCAGACAUAAAAUGAUAUCUAAACUAAGCGGACAUCCACUUUUAUUUAUAGGGUCAGUAAACACUUAAGUGUUAAAUAAAUAAAGGCAAUUCCUUUCGAUCACAUGGUUGGCUAUAACCCAAAAAAGAAAGUGAAAGCAAGCAAACCUAUAAAACAGACCAGGAGGACUGUCCAGCUGAAAGGCAUUUGAACAAGAGGCACAUAAGUGAAGAUAUGGGAGGAGCACCAACAAGGAAAAUCUUGAUUUCAUGAAGUCUUACCAUCCUCGUAACAAAGAAGUGAAAAAUCUCAGAAUUCUGCUUUAUGGACCAGUCGGUGCUGGCAAGUCGAGCUUCAUCAACUCUGUCGAAAGCACUUUACGUGGCAGAGUUACCGGUCGAGUUAUGACGGAUUCAAUCUCUGGAGAGAGCUUUACCACAAAGGUAAGAUUGAGAUCGAGAAAUACAUUUUUCCAGGGAUGUAUUUGUGUGGUUUUUUCAUCAUCUCUGUCAAAUAUGAUUCCUGCACCCUCUAUAAUAAUAAUAAUAAUAAUCUUUAUUUAUAUAGCACCUUUCAUACAACAAGUGCAGUCCAAAGUGCUUCACAUAGACAUUUCACGGUUAAAAUGCAUCGCAACGCAUUGAGAAAGUGCAGCAGAUAGCAGGAGUUGGCUUCCUAAAAGGCUAAAUUGUACAAAUGUGUUUUGAGUUUUUUUUUAAAGACUUCCACCGAGCUGGCUUCCCUGAUUUCUACACGUAUUUUUUUCAAUAUAGCUUUGGGGCAAAGUUAAUGAAAGCUGCGUUACCAAAUGUAUUUGUAACGCUGUUUUUUGGAACUUGUAAAAAACCAGCAGCAGAGGAUCGCAGUGUUCUUGAUGACUUGUAGCUUACAAGGGAGUUAAAAAUAUAACUUGGACCUUGCCCGUUCAAAUCAAUCCUAAAAGAAACAGGAAGCCAGUGUGCGGAGCGGCUAGAACUGGAGUAAUGUGUUCUCAUACUCUCCUAUAAAGCUCUCAUAAUCCCAUACCUGAUCUAUUGCAAAUCAUUUACAUUACCCAAUCAAUAUUUAUUCCUUGUUCUAUGUUCAUUCUUUGUUCAGAUUUGUGCUUACUUAGCUUAAUGUACAUUGCAACCAAGAAUAAGAUAAGAAGCAAGUAUAUUGCAUUGUUAUUUUUUGGUAACCGUUAAGGUAGAAACUCAGAAUUUAAUCCAAUAUACCCUCAUGUUUACUCUGAAGUAGUAAUGCUGUUUUAACUUUUUAUAUUGCACCCUUAGCUGUGAAUUAUUAAAAUAAUGCAAAUAACCACACAUUUAGCUUUACAGUAUAAAACGUUUAAAAUCCGAAAAGACCGAGCAUUUUACUCUUUCCUUUUCGAUGACAUCAAACUGGCCCUGAGGGGACAUGUGACAGAAGGUUACAAGGUAAAACCCUUUGAACUCUGACAUUAUUUCACUUUUCGCCUUUAUUAUUAUUUUUAUUCUGUUUGCAUUCCACACUUAAAAUUAAAUGAGUUAAAUAAAUGUAAUUGCACCAAUUUAACCGUUAGUUUUUUUAAACUAUUUCUUUAGUUUAUUAAAACCCUUGAACGAGGGUGAUAAAGACUACAUCUCAAGUCCCACUCUGGAUGAAAAGGUCCACGCUCUGGUUUGUGUCUUCCCUGCCGGCUCAAUAUGAAGAAGAAGAUUCAACUUAUUGUCAUUACGCAGUACAGGUACUAUGUAACAAAACGGUUUCUCUGCAUUUGACCAAUCCUAGUGUUAGGAGCAGUGGGCUGCCAUUAUGUACGGCGCCCGGGGAGCAGUGUAUAGGAACGGUGCCUGGCUCAGGGACACCUCGGUAGCACUUGGUCUUUCCAGGACUUGAACUGGUGACCUUCCAGUUGCCAAGCCAAGUCCCUAUGGACUUCGCCACCACCGCCCACCCAAUAUUUGUAUUAACUGAUGAAGUUGUGAAGAAGAUCAGAGAUGUCAGACUAGUAACCAGUGAUAUGGGGAUUCCACAAUUCGCUAUUCUCACCAAUGAAGCUUGUCCUGAGGUGAACAAAUAUAUGAGCAAUGUCUAUAAGAGCGUGUACCUGAAGGAACAGGUCGAUAGGUUCAUCCAUUUGCAUGGCAUUCCACUAAACUACAUCUUUCUGGUGAAGAACUACCAAUCAAUGCGCAGAUACUGAGCGCACUGAGACAGAUGGUUGACUACGGAGAACACUUCCUUAACAACAUGUAGUCCCACAUACUGCAUGAAGCAUGAUCUAAGUCCACCCACAUGAUGACAAUAGCCUCAAUGCAGCGUUGACAAAUAUGACAAAGCUACAUUAGCUUGGAAAAUAGCAAUAUGGGGCACUGAAUUAGCGCACCCCGCGGUUCCUCCACCUCACUCUACGCCGCUGGGAGACUGACGGUACAUGUCCACCAGAUCAGGCCUGGAAACCAAGUUAUACCUUGAGGCAACACUCCUAAUGUAAAACGGACCACUUGGAAAGAGAUACAGUGUGACACCUGUGAAAGAUGGUUCCAUGAGCAGUGCCUGGGGAUGAAUCAGGACCAACUCCAAGAAGCCUUUCUCUGCAACUAGGGCAGAAGAACAUGGCAGUGUCAUAUAUCUAUGGAAGAAAUGUUUUUUAGACCACAUUAAAGUUGACACAAAUGCUCAU